UACAGAGGGGGCAAGCGUUAUUCGGAAUUAUUGGGCGUAAAGGGCGCGUAGGCGGCUUGAUAAGCGUGCGGUGAAAGCCCGGGGCUCAACCCCGGGUCGGCCGUGCGAACUGUCGAGCUGGAGCACUGUAGAGGCAGGUGGAAUUCCGGGUGUAGCGGUGGAAUGCGUAGAGAUCCGGAAGAACACCGGUGGCGAAGGCGGCCUGCUGGGCAGUGGCUGACGCUGAGGUGCGAAAGCGUGGGGAGCAAACAGG
rnacentral:rRNA from 1 species